AUAGCGUAUAUUAAAGUUGUUGCAGUUAAAAAGCUCGUAGUUGAACCUUGGGCCUGGACAACCGGUCUGCCUAACAGCAAGUACUGGGAGUUUGGGCCUUUCCUUCUGGCUAACCCCAUGCCCUUUACUGGGUGUGUGGGCGAACCAGGACUUUUACUUUGAAAAAAUUAGAGUGUUCAAAGCAGGCAUUUGCUCGAAUACAUUAGCAUGGAAUAAUAGAAUAGGAUGUGCGGUUCUAUUUUGUUGGUUUCUAGGUCCGCCGUAAUGAUUAAUAGGGAUAGUCGGGGGCAUCCGUAUUCAAUUGUCAGAGGUGAAAUUCUUGGAUUUAUUGAAGACGAACUACUG
rnacentral:rRNA from 1 species